rnacentral:rRNA from 1 species
GGGAUAACCGGCGAACGGGUGCGUAACACGUGAACAACCUGCCCUCGUGUGGGGGAUAGCCAUGCUAACGCGUGGGUAAUACCGCAUACGUUCCUCUGGGGGAGUCCCUGGGGGAGGAAAGCUCCGGCGCACGGGGAGGGGUUCGCGGCCUAUCAGCUAGUUGGCGGGGUAACGGCCCACCAAGGCGACGACGGGUAGCUGGUCUGAGAGGAUGGCCAGCCACAUUGGGACUGAGAGACGGCCCAG